UACGGAGGUGGCAAGCGUUACUCGGAAUUAUUGGGUGUAAAGGGCAAGUAGGUGGCUUGGUAAGUGAGGGGUGAAAUACUCCGGCUCAAUCGGAGAACUGCCUUUCAUACUGCCUUGCUUGAGGAUGACAGGGGGAAAUGGAAUUCCAGGUGUAAGGGUGAAAUCUGUAGAUAUCUGGAAGAACACCAGCGGCGAAGGCGAUUUCCUGGGUCAUUCCUGACACUGAAUUGCGAAAGCUAGGGGAGCAAACAGA
rnacentral:rRNA from 1 species